rnacentral:rRNA from 1 species
CACCGACAACGGUCGCACGUGGCCGACACCUAGCGAGUAUCGUUUACGGCUAGGACUACCCGGGUAUCUAAUCCGGUUCGUGCCCCUAGCUUUCGUCCCUURCCGUCAGGUCCGUUCUGGUGAGACGCCUUCGCCACUGGUGGUCCUUCAAGGAUUACAAGAUUUCACCCCUACCCCUGAAGUACCUCUCACCUCUCCCGGCCUCGAGCCAGACAGUAUCUCCUGAAAGCCUGACAGUUAAGCUGCCAGAUUUCUCAAGAGACUUAUCCGGCCGGCUACAGACCCUUUAGACCCAAUAAUAACGGUUACCACUCGAGCCGCCGGUGUUACCGCGGCGGCUGGCACCGGUCUUGCCCGGCCCUUGCUAUGAAAUGCUUUUUAGGCAUCUCGACAGCCAGAUUUGUAACCUGGCACUCGAGGUUCCCUUAUCGCUGUUGCCAGCAUUGUAAAGUUUUCGCGCCUGCUGCACCCCGUAGGGCCUGGAUUCGUGUCUCAGAAUCCAUCUCCGGGCUCUUGCUCUCACAACCCGUACCCGUCGUAGGCUAGUAGGUACGCUACACCCACUACUACCUGAUAGGCCGCAGACCCAUCCUUAGGCGCCGGAGCUUUAAAUCUCGAUGCAUUCCAGCAAUCGAGACCUAUCGGGUAUUAUACCCAGUUUCCCGGGUUUAUCCCCGUCCUAAGGGCAGGUUGUCCACGUGUUACUGAGCAGUUCGCCAUGUAUUGCUACAUUCGACUCGCAUGGCUUAGUCGAACCUCGAUAGCAAAAACCUCAGGCAGGAUCAACCSGAAAAGGSAGAAU